AGAGACAGCAGCCGCCGCGGGAAUACGUAGGUCCCGAGCGUUGUCCGGGUUUAUUGGGCGUAAAGCGAGCGCAGGCGGUUAGAUAAGUCUGAAGUUAAAGGCUGUGGCUUAACCAUAGUACGCUUUGGAAACUGUUUAACUUGAGUGCAGAAGGGGAGAGUGGAAUUCCAUGUGUAGCGGUGAAAUGCGUAGAUAUAUGGAGGAACACCGGUGGCGAAAGCGGCUCUCUGGCUUGUAACUGACGCUGAGGCUCGAAAGCGUGGGGAGCAAACAGGAUUAGAUACCCCGGUAGUCCCUGUCUCUUAUACA
rnacentral:rRNA from 1 species